rnacentral:rRNA from 1 species
GAUGAACGCUGGCGGCGUGCCUAAUACAUGCAAGUCGAGCGAACAGACGAGGAGCUUGCUCCUCUGACGUUAGCGGCGGACGGGUGAGUAACACGUGGAUAACCUACCUAUAAGACUGGGAUAACUUCGGGAAACCGGAGCUAAUACCGGAUAAUAUAUUGAACCGCAUGGUUCAAUAGUGAAAGACGGUUUUGCUGUCACUUAUAGAUGGAUCCGCGCCGCAUUAGCUAGUUGGUAAGGUAACGGCUUACCAAGGCAACGAUGCGUAGCCGACCUGAGAGGGUGAUCGGACACACUGGAACUGAGACACGGUCCAGACUCCUACGGGAGGCAGCAGUAGGGAAUCUUCCGCAAUGGGCGAAAGCCUGACGGAGAACAGCCGCGCGAGUGAUGAAGGUAUUCGGAUCGUAAAACUCUGUUAUUAGGGAAGAACAAAUGUGUAAGUAACUAUGCACGUCUUGACGGUACCUAAUCAGAAAGCCACGGCUAACUACGUG